GACAGAGGGUGCAAACGUUGUUCGGAAUUACUGGGCGUAAAGCGCACGUAGGCGGAUUUGUAAGUCAGGGGUGAAAUCCCGAGGCUCAACCUCGGAACUGCCUUUGAUACUGCAAAUCUCGAGUCCGGAAGAGGUGAGUGGAAUUCCUAGUGUAGAGGUGAAAUUCGUAGAUAUUAGGAAGAACACCAGUGGCGAAGGCGGCUCACUGGUCCGGUACUGACGCUGAGGUGCGAAAGCGUGGGGAGCAAACAGG
rnacentral:rRNA from 1 species